GUCCAGACUCCUACGGGAGGCAGCAGUGGGGAAUAUUGCACAAUGGGGGAAACCCUGAUGCAGCAACGCCGCGUGGGUGAAGAAGUAUUUCGGUAUGUAAAGCCCUAUCAGCAGGGAAGAGAAUGACGGUACCUGACUAAGAAGCCCCGGCUAACUACGUGCCAGCAGCCGCGGUAAUACGUAGGGGGCAAGCGUUAUCCGGAUUUACUGGGUGCAAAGGGAGCGUAGACGGUUGUGCAAGUCUGAAGUGAAAGCCCGCGGCUCAACUGCGGGACUGCUUUGGAAACUGCCCGGCUAGAGUGCUGGAGAGGUGAGCGGAAUUCCUAGUGUAGCGGUGAAAUGCGUAGAUAUUAGGAGGAACACCAGUGGCGAAGGCGGCUUACUGGACAGUAACUGACGUUGAGGCUCGAAAGCGUGGGAGCAAACAGGAUUAGAUACCCUAGUA
rnacentral:rRNA from 1 species